rnacentral:rRNA from 1 species
UACGAAGGGGACUAGCGUUGUUCGGAAUCACUGGGCGUAAAGCGCACGUAGGCGGAUUCGUAAGUCAGGGGUGAAAUCCCGGGGCUCAACCUCGGAACUGCCUUUGAUGCUGCGGGUCUUGAGUCCGAUAGAGGUGGGUGGAAUUCCUAGUGUAGAGGUGAAAUUCGUAGAUAUUAGGAAGAACACCGGUGGCGAAGGCGGCCCACUGGAUCGGUACUGACGCUGAGGUGCGAAAGCGUGGGGAGCAAACAGG